UACUUUCGCGAGCUUUCCACUUACGAAUUUGUCGAUGUCAUUGCUUACAUCAUGGACUACGGUGUUAUAAGAAUUUGUUGACAGGACAACCCUUCUCAAGCCCAUAAUAAUCCGUAUACACUUUAUGAUCUACAGAGGUGUUAAAAAUAGAUGAGCUGCCACUGACUAACAACAGGUUUUUGAACUUGUUGAAGUGGAAGCCAUAACCAUGUUGUGCUGGGGAAAUGCCUCCUAUGGUCAGCUUGGAUUGGGUGGAAUUGAUGAAGAAAUCAUUGUAGAGCCCCAAAAAUGUGAAUUCUUUAAUGGGAAGAUGGUUCGAGGUGUAGGCUGUGGGAGAAGACACACUGUUUUUCUUCUUGAGGAUGGAACUGUGUAUACCUGUGGCUGCAAUGACUUAGGACAGCUGGGGCAUGACAGAGCACGCAAAAAACCAGAGCAGGUAAUGGCACUUGAUGCUCAGAACAUUGUAGCGGUAUCUUGUGGUGAAGCUCACACUCUUGCUCUAAGUGACAAAGGGCAAGUGUUUGCAUGGGGACAGGCUUCUGAUGGACAGCUUGGCCUUUCCAGCAUGGAAGAAUGUAUGCGUGUGCCCAGAACAAUCAAGAGUUUGUCAGAGGUCCAUGUUGUUCAAGUCUCCUGUGGUUAUAGGCAUUCCCUUGCACUUUCUCGGAGGGGACAUAUUUUCUCCUGGGGGCAAAAUAGAUAUGGACAGUUAGGACUAGGGAAAGAAGGACCUUGCAUCUUGACCCCUCAGGUCAUCCAGUCUUUACAGGGCAUUCCAUUUGCCCAGAUCUCUGCAGGAGGUGCCCAUAGCUUUGCUCUUACAAUGUCUGGGGCUGUAUUUGGUUGGGGGCAAAACAAGUUUGGCCAGCUUGGCUUAAAUGAUAACAAAGAUCGAUGUUUUCCAACCUUGCUGAAGACACUCAGGUCACAAGGGGUUGUUUAUAUAUGCUGUGGAGAGAAUCACACUGCUGUAUUAACAAAGGAGGGAGGUGUGUUCACAUUUGGAGCAGGCGGCUAUGGUCAGCUUGGACACAACAGCAUAAACCAUGAAAUUAACCCUCGAAAGGUUUUUGAACUGAUGGGGAAUGUUGUGACACAAGUAGCUUGUGGUAGGCAGCAUACCUUAGCAUUCAUUCCAUCCUCUGGCAAGAUUGAUUCUUUUGGUCUUGGAGGGAAUGGACAACUUGGAACCCGUCACACCUCCAACAGAAUAAGCCCUGCUCCUGUAAAAGGCCAAUGGAGAGCUUACAAUGAACCGACACAAAUAGAAUCUGAGACUGAGAAGUUGUACACUGUGAAGAGGAUUUAUGCUGGAGGAGACCAGAGCUUUGCCCAUUUCCACUGUCUUCUUGAUGGCCCUCCCCCAGAUGAUCUGAGAAUACGACAUAGCAAUCAGCAUGUCUUAAGAUUGAAUGGUGACCUCAUUCAGAAAUGGCUGAGCCACGGUCAUGGAAGACUUUCACCAGAAACGACAGUUGAAAUCGAUGAUGUAUUCUCCUCAGCAAGUUGUUUAAAUGGGAGUUUUCUUUCUACAAGCCAUCCAGAUCAUUAUCGCACUAGCAGUAAAUGUUCUGGGGUGGACAUGAACAUGGCUCGCCUCCUCUUUAACAAACUCAUCCAGCCAGAUUAUCCACAUAUCUCACAACAAAUUGCUGAUUGUUUAGGGAGGCAUUUGAUUCCCAACCUGUCCAGCUCUCCUCCGGACAUUGAGGCUCUGAGGCUCUACCUCAUACUUCCCGAGUGUCCUCUCUUUAAAAACCCCAACAGUUACAUCACACUUACCAUUCCCUUUGCCAAGGCAGUCAUCUACCUCGGCAAUGCUCCAAUCAAAGUGCUUGGAAAUUGGUGGUCUUGCCUUGAUCCAGCAGUUUAUCAAGGAUUGGUGGAAUUGUAUAAAGAGGUGAUUGUGUAUCUACUCCGGAUGCAGAAGAUAGGAAUUUCACCAUCUGAGCAGAGGUCAUUUACCUGCUUCUUAAGCACAUGUUUGAAGUUUCUGGAGAUUUUGUACUCUGUAAAUGACCAAGCUGGCCAAAUUAUUCUGUAUGACAAAUUUUAUAUACAUGAACUAGAAGACCUUGUUGACAUCAGGAGUGAUUAUGUUACAUGGAUCCAGCAUCAGAUGUUCUCCAUGGCCAUCGACUCUCAGGUCAACCUGUGCAAAUACCCAUUUGUAUUUGAUGCUCAGGCAAAGACAAUGCUGCUCCAAACUGAUGCUGUUAUCCAGAUGCAGAUGGCUGUGGACCAAGCAGAAAGACAGAAUCUUAGCUCUUUAUUCCUGCCUGGUGGCAUGGUGGAGUCCGUAAACCCUUGCCUCAUUCUCAUGGUACGCAGAGAAAAUGUUGUUGAAGACACUAUGGAAGUUUUGCGGAAGUCCAAAAAUGUUGAUUACAAGAAACCACUAAAGGUGAUCUUUGUUGGAGAGGAAGCUGUGGAUGCUGGUGGUGUAAGAAAAGAAUUUUUCCUCCUCAUCAUGAAGGAACUGCUUGACCCCAAAUAUGGCAUGUUCAGGUAUUAUGAGGAGUCCAGACUCAUCUGGUUUUCAGACAAGACUUUAGAAGAUACCGACUUAUUUCACCUCAUUGGGGUCGUUUGUGGUUUGGCCAUAUAUAAUCUGACCAUCAUAGAACUACAUUUCCCUGUAGCCCUGUACAAAAAACUCUUGAAGAAAACUCCGACUUUAGAGGACCUGAAGGAGCUCAUGCCUGUUGUUGGAAGUUUUUAUGACCUUGUCACAGGAGUCUACAAGAUCUAUUGGACUACACAGAUGAUGUUGAGGAAACAUUCUGCUUGAACUUCACAAUUACUGUGGAAAAUUUUGGUGAAACUGAGGUAUUUGAACUAAUACCUAAUGGCAUUAACAUCGCUGUAAACAAUCACAACAGACAAGACUUUGUAAAUGCCUACGUUGACUACAUUUUCAACUUAUCUGUGGCUCCUCUUUUCACUGCCUUCUAUGAUGGAUUCCACAAAGUAUGUGGUGGUAAAGUUCUGGAGCUUUUUCAGCCAAAUGAACUACAGGCAAUGGUUAUAGGGAACACCAGAUAUGACUGGAAGGAACUGGAGAAGAACACAAAGUACAAGGGAGAAUAUUGGACUGAACACCCCACUAUCAAAUUCUUCUGGAAUGUUUUCCAUGAGUUACCCCUGGAAAAGAAGAAGCAGUUCCUGUUGUUUCUCACAGGUAGUGAUCGAAUCCCCAUCCUGGGCAUGAAGAGUCUCGUCUUGGUCAUUCAGCCAACAGGAGGUGGAGAGAACUAUCUUCCUGUUGCCCACACUUGCUUCAAUCUUUUAGACUUGCCUAAGUAUACAAGCCAAGAAAACCUCAAAGAGAAACUUCUACAGGCCAUUGAACACAAUCAGGGCUUCAAUCUGGCAUGACAAUUUACAGGGGGACACAAUUUGUUUCUAGACCACAGAAUGUUUGACAACUGAGACUACAAAUACUAUAAAUUUGAAGGUAAAUAGUCAAGGGAGUUUAAUAUGAGUAUAAUUGAAAUAGUAUGCACUAUUUACAGUCAUUAAUGAUUUAUUAUUCUCACCAAUUAAAGCUUUGAUGACACCUUGUAUACAUUUGAUUCUUGUUUUAUCUUUUGAAAUCACCUGUUAAACAUGAGCCUCGAGGUGUUUUUGAAUUAUUUCUUUGUUGUUUUUUUAAUAGUUCUACUGGAUUUUCAAUCUCCUGAGUUUGGCAGACUCUUUGUUUACUUUUUGUAGACUUUUUUGUUGCCGUGCCAUAACAGAUACAAUCUAAAGGGGGUUUGAGUUUUUGGAUCAAUUAUUUUAUCAAAAUAGUAGAGAAAACUGUCAGUGAAUGGCAGAAUGGACCAUCAAAUAUUAUUUUACCUAGAUGUGACAUGUUAAAAGCUAUCCAGAACCUUCUGUUGUGCUGGGUAGUGUUGCUGUCAUGAACUCAUGACUCUUGAGUCACGUGCUGGUCUCUGUGGAGUUUCUGCACAUGUUCACCGCAUGUCUAUGUGGACUUCUGUAUUCGCCAGUUUACUACCACCUCUGGAUCUACUGUGACCCUGACCAGGAUAAAGUGAUUACAUGGACAGAGGAAGGAAGCUACACAAUGCUUUCAUGUUAACACAAGCUGUGAUUCAUUGCAUGGUGUGUUUUGUACAUAUUUCCUUGCGCACAGCCCAUGGAAACCAAGUCAGAGGGUUUGUGUGUUCCUUACUGUUAUUUGCCAUGACUAACUUAAGAAGCUACACUGACCAGCAGAGCAUGACAUUGCAACAUGCAGAAACCGUGCACAUAUCACAUCUGGUUUAAUAAAACAUUCAAAUCUUC